AUGGUGUGCUUCACUUGCGGAGGCCCUGGCCACUACGUUGGCAACUACAUACAGAAGAAAACCUGUUUCAUCUGUGGAUUGGAAGGCCACAAUGUCAACAACUAUGCAGCCUGGGCACAGCCCCAUCCAGUUGCCACCUUCUUUGGGAGUUCUACGCUGGGACUGGGGUUUUAUCACAUCGACGCCCCUGUGGGAAGAGAAGCAAGCUGGCUGAAUUUUAGGAACUGUGGAGAAGUCUGGAUUAUGAAAGGAGAGAUCAACAAGUCAGACCUAAUGAAAAACCUUUCUGGUAUCUUCUGCAAAAACAAACAAUGGACAUGGCAAAUCAAGCCACUGUCAGAUAAGAAGUUCCUGGUUAGAUUCCCCCCCUGGAAAGAUGUUGAUGAGUUGAUUGAGUUCCCUGCUUUUGAUCUACCCAUUGAUGGUGUCUCUGUGUCUGUGGAAAAAUGGACUGGCUCAAUUGACCCAUUCAGUGAACUUACUGAAGCCUGGGUGAUUGUUGAGGGCCUGUCCUCUAAAUGGUGUACAUGGAAAGUGCUAUCCCAAAUAGCCUCAUGCUUUGGAAUUCUUGUAGAUGUCCACUGGAAUGGCCUGAUGAAGAGCUUCUAUGAGAAAGUGAGGAUCAAAAUUGCCUGCAGAGACCCAACAAAAAUCCCCUUUGAAAGAAUUAUGGAGAUGAGGAAAAAACUGUAUAUCCUAUCCUUCACUGUGGAGGGCUUUGACUAGGUGGGUGCUGAUGACCCCAAUGAUGAUGAUGGCCCCACUGGU
rnacentral:rRNA from 1 species